AUGUACAUGCCUACAACAUAGUGUUAAUGCAUCAUAUACCAUUGGAACUCCAUAUUUAAGCAUGAUUGGGAUAGAGUAGUACUGGGAUGGGUGACCUCGCGGGAAUUCCUAUUGUUUUACAUG
rfam:Picea glauca, whole genome shotgun sequence.